UUAUCUAUAGUGUAUCCUAACACUUAAUCUUUUCAUGAUUAAAAAACCAAAAUUAUAAGUUAGAUAAA
rnacentral:tRNA from 1 species